UACGGGGGGAGCAAGCGUUGUUCGGAUUUACUGGGCGUAAAGGGCGCGUAGGCGGCCACCGCAAGUCAGUUGGGAAAUCUCUGGGCUUAACCCAGAAAGGUCAACUGAUACUGCGGGGCUAGAGUGCAGAAGGGGCAACUGGAAUUCUCGGUGUAGCGGUGAAAUGCGUAGAUAUCGUCUGGAACGCCAAAGGUGAAAACAGACUGCUGGGAGUGUGCUGACGCUGAGACACGAAAGCCAGGGGAGCAAACGGG
rnacentral:rRNA from 1 species